rnacentral:rRNA from 1 species
AACAGAGGGGGCAAGCGUUGCUCGGAAUUACUGGGCGUAAAGGGCGCGUAGGCGGGAUGGCAAGUCGGUCGUGAAAUCCCUCGGCUCAACCGAGGAACGUCGAUCGAUACUGCUGUUCUUGAGGAUUGCAGAGGAGACUGGAAUUCCCGGUGUAGCGGUGAAAUGUGUAGAGAUCGGGAGGAACACCGGUGGCGAAGGCGGGUCUCUGGGCAAUUCCUGACGCUGAGGCGCGAAAGCGUGGGGAGCAAACGGG